UACAAAGGUUGUUGUUACCCUUUGCAAAGCUUCUAAAGGCAACAGGUUAGACCUGUAUUUCAAGGAAGACAAGUUCAAGCCAAGCAUGGACAAGGAGAAGGACCCAAUGUCUGGAAUUAUGGACUUAAUGAAGAACAUGUAUGAGGAAGGCGACGAGGAUAUGAAGCGCACAA